rnacentral:rRNA from 1 species
AGUGAACGCUGGCGGUAGGCCUAACACAUGCGAGUCGAACGGCAGCACAGUAAGAGCUUGCUCUUACGAGUGGCGAGUGGCGGACGGGUGAGGAAUACAUCGGAAUCUACUUUUUCGUGGGGGAUAACGUAGGGAAACUUACGCUAAUACCGCAUACGACCUACGGGUGAAAGCAGGGGAUCUUGGGCCUUGCCCGAUUGAAUGGGGCGAUGUCGGAAUAGCUAGGUGGCGGGGUAAAGGCCCACCAAGGCGACGAUCCGUAGCUGGUCCGAGAGGAUGAUCAGCCACACUGGAACUGAGAGACGGUGCAGACUCCUACGGGAGGCAGCAGUGGGGAAUAUUGGACAAUGGGCGCAAGACUAAUCCAGCCAUACCGCGAGAGUGAAGAAGGCCUUCGGGUUGUAAAGCCCUUUUGUUGGGAAAGAAAAGCAGCAGGUUAAUACCCCGCUGUUCUGACGGUACCCAAAGAAUAAGCACCGGCUAACUUCGUG